rnacentral:rRNA from 1 species
UACAGAGGUCCCAAGCGUUGUUCGGAUUCACUGGGCGUAAAGGGUGCGUAGGCGGUCGGGUAAGUCUGAUGUGAAAGCUCGAAGCUUAACUUCGAAAUGGCAUUGGAUACUAUUCGGCUUGAGGAAUGGAGGGGAGACUGGAAUGCUCGGUGUAGCAGUGAAAUGCGUAGAUAUCGAGCGGAACACCAGUGGCGAAGGCGAGUCUCUGGACAGUUUCUGACACUGAGGCACGAAGGCCAGGGGAGCAAACGGG